rnacentral:piRNA from 1 species
UCUUUCUAAAAGAACCACAAGUACAUUUUGC